rnacentral:snRNA from 1 species
GGAUGUGAGGGCAAUCUGGUUGUGACAUCUGUCACCCCAUUGAUCAUCAGGGUUGAUUCAGCUGAUCUAGCUGGCUAGGCCAGUGUCCCCUUCCUCCCUCAUGGCUCCAUGUGCGCCACCCGCCCCCCCACCCCACCCCGCCAACCAAGGCUGCAUGCUCAGUUGAAGAGGACAACCAUCCCUGAUGGAGGAGGACUGCUCUUCGGUCAAGGGUAUACGAGUCGCUGUGCUCCCCUGCUAGAACCUUCAAGCAAGCUCUCAAGGAAUAAGUGGUAAUCUAAGGAUCAUUAACGUAUUUCCACAGUUAGUUACCUGAAGAGCAGAAGAGGAGGUUUGCCUCCUUUACGU